GUCCCAUUUGUCUAUUUUGGCUUUGUUCGCCAAUGCUUUUGGUGUUUUCGUCAUGAAGUCCUUGCCUAUGCCUAUGUCCUGAAUGGUUUUGCCUAGAUUUUCUUCUAGGGUUUUUAUGGUGUUAGGUCUUAUGUUUAAGUCUUUAAUCCAUCUGGAGUUAAUUUUAGUGUAAGGUGUCAGGAAGGGGUCCAGUUUCUGCUUUCUGCACGUGACUAGUGAAUUUUCCCGGCACCAUUUAUUAAACAAGGAAUCCUUUCCCCGUUGCUUGUUUUUGUCAGGUUUGUCAAAGAUCAGAGGAUUGCAGAUGUGUGACAUUGCCUCCAAGGCCUCUGUUCUGUUCCAUUGGUUUAAGUGCCCUGGCUAAGACUUCCAGGACCAUGUUGAAUAGAAGUGAUUCCUCUUGCCUAGCCACGCUGAUGGAUAUGAGAUUUGUGAAAGAUUAUUAGAAUGAUUACAACAAGCUAUAUUCCUUCCUUAUUUCCUGCAAGUGGGAGGAGCACGUAUGACAAACAGAAAAAUGAAAGAGCCAAAAAAGAUGUGAUAGUCUAUUUGUCCCUCUUACACUGUAUAUAAAAUAACCAUCGUGGGACUCAACACCCUGCAGUAUGCUCAGAGAAGAAUGAUUUGGUUGAUGGAAUGAUCUAAAACCCUACCAAGCAUCAAAGAACUAGAAAUCUCCAGCCAAGGGAGUGAUGUCCUUUCAUUCACCUUCCAAUAGUGAGAAAUUCUUAUGCUAAAAAGCGUUAGCCUUCCUCUCUGUGGUCUGAAAGACCAGAAAUAGAAUGGAAGUCAGAAGAAGGUAGACUUCUCUCCACAGAAUGAGUUUCCUUGCAAUUUAGCCAUAUAAAAUGUAUAUCAUUGUCUCAUAAGGUAGUAGAUUCCUUACCACUGAG
rnacentral:lncRNA from 1 species